rnacentral:rRNA from 1 species
AGAGUUUGAUCAUGGCUCAGAAUCAACGCUGGCGGCAUGCCUAACACAUGCAAGUCGAGCGAGAAAGUGUAGCAAUACAUGAGUACAGCGGCGCACGGGUGAGUAACACGUGGAUAACCUGCCUCACAGUGGGGAAUAACACCGGGAAACCGGUGCUAAUACCGCAUAUUCUGACGAGGUCUGCGGAUUUCGUCAGGAAAGGAGCAAUUCGCUAUGAGAGGGGUCCGCGGCUGAUUAGCUAGUUGGUGAGGUAAUGGCUCACCAAGGCUACGAUCAGUAGCCGGUCUGAGAGGACGGUCGGCCACACUGGAACUGAGACACGGUCCAGACUCCUACGGGAGGCAGCAGUGGGGAAUUUUUCGCAAUGGGGGCAACCCUGACGAAGCAAUGCCGCGUGGAUGAUGAAGUCUCUUGGGACGUAAAAUCCUUUCGACAGGGACGAAACCGCAAGGUUGACGGUACCUGUAGAAGAAGCCCCGGCUAACUCCGUGCCAGCAGCCGCGGUAAUACGGGGGGGGCAAGCGUUGUUCGGAAUUACUGGGCGUAAAGGGUGCGUAGGCGGCUCUCUAAGUCGGAUGUGAAAACUCUGGGCUCAACCCAGAGCCUGCAUCUGAAACUGGAGGGCUAGGGUGCUGGAGGGGAAAGCGGAAUUCCUGGUGUAGCGGUGAAAUGCGUAGAUAUCAGGAGGAACACCGGUGGCGAAGGCGGCUUUCUGGACAGUAACCGACGCUGAGGCACGAAAGCUAGGGGAGCAAACAGGAUUAGAUACCCUGGUAGUCCUAGCCCUAAACUAUGGAUACUUGCUGUGGGGGGGAUUGAAGCCCCUUGUGGCGAAGCUAACGCAUUAAGUAUCCCGCCUGGGGAGUACGGUCGCAAGGCUGAACUCAAAGGAAUUGACGGGGCCCGCACAAGCGGUGGAGUAUGUGGUUUAAUUCGACGCAACGCGAAGAACCUUACCUGGGC